GAUGAACGCUGGCGGCGUGCCUAAUACAUGCAAGUCGGGCGAACGGACGAGAAGCUUGCUUCUCUGAUGUUAGCGGCGGACGGGUGAGUAACACGUGGAUAACCUACCUAUAAGACUGGGAUAACUUCGGGAAACCGGAGCUAAUACCGGAUAAUAUUUUGAACCGCAUGGUUCAAAAGUGAAAGGCGGUCUUGCUGUCACUUAUAGAUGGAUCCGCGCUGCAUUAGCUAGUUGGUAAGGUAACGGCUUACCAAGGCAACGAUGCAUAGCCGACCUGAGAGGGUGAUCGGCCACACUGGAACUGAGACACGGUCCAGACUCCUACGGGAGGCAGCAGUAGGGAAUCUGCCGCAAUGGGCGAAAGCCUGACGGAGCAACGCCGCGUGAGUGAUGAAGGUCUUCGGAUCGUAAAACUCUGUUAUUAGGGAAGAACAUAUGUGUAAGUAACUGUGCACAUCUUGACGGUACCUAAUCAGAAAGCCACGGCUAACUACGUG
rnacentral:rRNA from 1 species